CCUGCCAGAAGCCUGUGAGCUUCUCAAAAAUGCAAGUGCCUUUGUAAACAACCGGAAAACCAAAGCAAAAUUAAUUCUGCCCAGAAAUUAUAAUCAAAAGGAAUAGUCAUGAAACCCUUGGUGCAUUUUAAUGACUGCUAAAGCAGUGCCUGGAGGCUUUCAGUGAGAUUUUGGACCAAUUGUACAAGACAUCAUUGAGGUUUACCCGAGGUUCGAAAUACGUGUCAGAAGCAGAUCCAGAGAGAGAGAGAGAGACGCAGAGGUCGUCUGACGUGUGACUCCGCCAUGACACCUAUUGAACUCCUCGUGAUUGAACUUUUUGUGACCAAUGUAUUGAUGUGUAUGUGUAUGUGUGUUGGUUACUAUUUGAUUCAAUCUGUAGAGGAUGAACUACUGUCGUUGUAUACUUUUGUACGUAGCCAGUUAUCUUUA